GCUGUCAGGACAGAUAUAUGUCUUUUCAUUUGAUUAUAGGUAUGAGCAGUCCUCCAGCUCCAUCUACUGGACACCUGUAGAUAUUUCCUGGUGUUAGUUAUUUGUUUAAUAAAGUUAGCUAUUGACCCCUGAUGUCAUAACUCCAGGUCACAGGAAGUAGGUGUUUUUCAGCCUGUGCAGUUUAUCUCAUGUGCUUUCAGCUUUCUCCAUGCUAAACAGGCCCUAUGCAGCAUUGUUGGUGAGUGUAUACAGUUUUACUUGCUUAAUAUACUCAGUUUCUGCAUCUGAGAGAGAGAGGUUUGUUUCUGUUUGAUAGCAGAUUUAUUACAUCUGUGUAAUGUAUAUGCAUGCAUAUUGUUUCACCAGCAGAGACACUUAUACCAUUUCAUUUGUAUGUAUUUCAGUUUUACCCUUUCAUCUUCAAAUACUCAUUAAACAAGUUAACAACUUACACAGUGUGGUGUUUUGAAGAAGGGUUAUCUGCCUGUCAAUCUUACUUCAGACAGUGAGCAGGACAGAACAGUAGACAACACCACGCAUAGCUGAUGCAAUACAGCACAGUAAAACAACAGCUUGUAUCAAGAGGCCCACACGCAGAGUGGAUUAGCAAGUACCACAAAGAUACAGUACAGCUUCAGUUAACAUAGUACCACGUGCUAACUCUUAUCAAGAUUAGACAGCAAGAUGUCUGAACGAUCAAUCAAAACCAGAUCUAGGGUGUCACAUUCAUCCAGACUCUCAAACCGCUCCCAGGUAUCUGACGCUGCGCUUCUCCGCGCAGAAGCUGCCGCUGCACUAGCUCAACUCACAUUUACUGGGAAGGAAACAGAGCUAAAAUUAGAGAAGACACGCUUAGAAGCUUCAAUAGAGAUUCUUAACUUACAUAAGACGGUGGCAAUCGCAAAUGCCAAAGCAGAUGCAUUAGAUGCAGCUCUUGACACUACAGAACAAGCAAGUCAGAAAUUCACUAUGCAGCCUGAUGUAAAACCAGAAACUGCUAUGCAACGUACCAAAGAAUAUGUGCUGAAACAUUCACAGGAGUACAGUCCAUCAAUGCCAAGCCUAGAAAAGCUUAGUGAGUACAGAGACAGUGAUGUUAUCCCAUCAUCUGAGCAAAAUCAUAGUAUACCUCUCCAGAACAUUCCCUUAAAAUGUGACUACAUCUCACCACCAGAUGGUGCUCUGUUACAAGAACAAAAGGAUUUCAAACAAUUGUAUCCUGCUAAUGUGAAAACUCCUGCAGCCAGAGAUUAUAAUGACAUUCAGUGGACUUUACCUGUUACUAAUACAUACAGCUAUCCUCCUGUUACACGACCAAGGGUUCCUGAUAGAGACAGUCAUUCUCCAGAGGGAUCAUACCAGCACACGCCAGAUGUGAAGCCAGCGCUCCCUAUUAAGCCUGAUUCAAACCAACUCACUGGCGAUCAACAGAUGUCAGACUUAGUGAGAUUUAUGGCACGCAGAGAAAUGAUAACAUCAGGUCUUGUUCAGUUUGACGAGAAACCAGAAAACUACAGGGCUUGGAAGGCGUCAUUUAAAAAUGCUAUAGAAGACCUUCACCUUUCAUACAAAGAAGAAACAGAUCUCCUAGUGAAGUGGCUAGGUCCAGAGUCCAGCAGACAAGUGAAAGGCAUUCGGGCAGUAUAUGUCAAUGAUUCUUGUAAAGGACUACAGAUGUCAUGGCAAAGGUUGAACGAAGAUUAUGGAGCUCCAGAGAAGAUAGAAAAAUCCCUGUGGGACAGGAUUGACAACUUUGGGAAUAUCUUUGAAAGAGAUUGCAGCAAGAAACUUAGAGAAUUCAGUGAUCUGGUAAUAGAACUGUUGGCAGCAAAAAAUGAAGGAUGCUUUCUAGGACUAGGUAAUCUUGAUUCCGCCAGAGGAAUGGAAGACCUUGUAAAAAAGCUGCCAGAUUCUCUAAAAAGGAAAUGGGCAUCCCAUGGGACCAAGUACAAGGAAAUACAUAAUGUACUAUUCCCACCAUUCUCUUAUUUCGUGCAAUUUAUCUCUCAACAAGCAAAGAUGUACAAUGACCCAGGUUUUGCUCAGACGUUCCAGACCUUUGGUGACAACAAGCCAGAGAAAUACCGCUACAAGAACACCCCUCAGAGAAGCUCCAUCAGGGUGCACAAGACUGAAGUAUCUCAAGCUACAGGAAACUCUUCUGCUUUCACUGAUGCUAAGACCAUGGACUUAACAAAAGGAUGUCCGAUUCAUCACAAACCUCAUCCUCUGUACAAAUGCAGAGGCUUCAGAAGUAAGUCCCUUGAUGAGAGAAAGACUUUCUUAAAACAAAACAAUAUUUGUUACCGUUGCUGUGCCUCAAAUGCACACCUUGCGAAAGACUGUGACAAACCAGUUAGCUGCACAGAGUGCAACAGUGACAGACACGUGUCUGCUCUUCAUCCUGGUCCUGCACCAUGGUCAGUCAGGCCGCCAGAAGGGAGUGAUCAUGGCGGGGAGGGAAAGGACAACGGUGCAGAGGCUACAGUAACUACAACAUGUACCGAAGUGUGUGGAGGAGAUCUUCGAGACAGAUCAUGCUCUAAAAUCUGUUUAGUAAGUGUCUAUCCUACAGGACAAAAGAACAGAGCAAUCAAACUUUAUGCUAUUCUAGAUGACCAAAGUAAUAGGUCCCUGGUCAGGUCAGAGUUCUUUGAAAUCUUCGGGUCAAAAGGCCAGCAGCUUCCAUAUUCUCUCAGAACCUGUGCAGGGGUGAUUAACACUUCAGGAAGAAGAGCGCAAGGGUUUGAACUACAGUCUCUUGAUGGCAAAACCACAAUCUCAUUACCCACACUCAUUGAAUGUAAUGAGAUACCGAACGACCGGACGGAGAUCCCAACCCCUGAGGUGGCUCUUCAUCACAAUCAUCUAAAGUCACUUGCUAGUGAGAUACCCAAACUUGAUCCAUCAGCAGCUAUCCUUAUGCUGUUAGGAAGAGACAUAAUUAGGGUCCAUAAAGUGAGGCAACAGAUCAACGGACCACAUAACGCUCCUUAUGCACACAGAUUAGACACAGGAUGGGUCAUAGUGGGCAAUGUAUGCCUGAAAGGAGUCCAUAGACCAGACUUAGUACACUGUCUUUACACCAGAACCUCAGAAGAGAGCUGCAGAUCCCUCUUUCCACCUUGUCCAUACUUCUACAAUGUGAGGGAAAACUAUGACAUGAAUGUAUGUGUAACCAUGCAAUCCACAGUGUCUACGUACAAAUCCUCUUGCAAAGAGUUUGAGGAUCAUGUAAGCCACAGUAUCUUUCAGAGAACAACAGAAGAUGAGACGGUUGCUCCUUCUCUGGAAGAUCUUGCCUUUAUGAAAACAAUGAAUGAGGGUUUCUACAGAGCAGAAGACAGUAGUUGGGUAGCUCCUUUACCCUUCAAACCACAAAGAAAGCAGCUACCAAAUAACAAAGAACAAGUCUUGCAACGUUUCAGGUCCUUACAGAGGUCUUUUAAAGUAAAACCUGACAUGAGACAGCAUUUCUUUGAAUUUAUGGGAAAGGUAAUCCAAAAUGGCCACGCAGAGAUAGCACCACCUCUCAAUCCAAGAGAAGAGUGUUGGUAUCUGCCUCUCUUUGGAGUCUACCACCCCAAGAAACCCCAACAGAUUAGAGUUGUCUUUGAUUCAAGUGCACAGUGUUGUGGGGUAUCCCUGAAUGACAUUCUGUUGAAAGGCCCAGACCUAAAUAAUAACCUCCUUGGUGUGUUGUUACGCUUUCGCAAGGACACCAUUGCAUUCAUGGCUGAUAUCCAACAGAUGUUCUACUGUUUUCUAGUUAGACCUGAAGACAGAAAUUACUUAAGGUUCUUCUGGCACAAAGACAACGACCCUGCACAAGACAUCAUAGAAUGGAGAAUGAAAGUACAUAUCUUUGGUAACAGACCUUCUCCAGCAGUGGCCAUAUAUGGUCUUAAACAAGCAGCUUGUCAGGAAGAAAAGGAGUUUGGUGCAGACGCUAAAAGAUUUGUAAAAAGAGACUUUUACGUGGAUGAUGGUCUGAAGUCAGUACCCACUGCAGCUGAAGCCAUUGACCUCUUGAACAGAACCAGGAAAAUGCUAGCAUGUUCAAAUCUCCGCUUACAUAAGAUAGCAUCAAAUAGCAGUGAUGUAAUGGCUGCUUUUUCUUCUGAAGAUCACGCAACAGACUUAAAAGAUCUCAAUUUCAAUGAUGAUGAUUUACCCAUGCAAAGAAGCUUAGGCAUCUGCUGGGAUCUUAAAAGCGAUUCCCUGACCUUCCAGGUGUCAUCAGAGAAAAGACCCUACACACGAAGAGGAGUCCUCUCUACAAUAAACAGUUUGUAUGACCCUUUGGGGAUAGCUGCACCAGUAACCAUUCAAGGGAAAGCUCUUCUUCGUGAUCUCACCUCGGAGACUCAAGAUUGGGAUGCACCCCUACCUGAAGGUAAGAGACUGUCAUGGGAAGAUUGGAAAGAGUCCCUCCACCAGUUGAAGCACAUACAGGUAACUAGACCCUAUGUAUCCGUUUCUUGUUCAAAUGCCAAAUACAAAGAACUUUGUGUGUUUUCAGAUGCCUCCACGCAAGCAAUUGCAGCAGUGGCCUACUUAAAGGCGAUAGAUUCUGAAAGUCAGGUCCACAUAGGUUUUGUGCUAGGAAAAGCUAAAUUAGCUCCAUGUCCGGAACUUACAGUCCCACGACUUGAACUCUGUGCAGCAGUCCUCGCAGUAGAUAUAGCUGAAUUCAUAACAAAAGAAAUCGACACAAAUAUAGACUCUGUCAGCUACUUCACAGACAGCAGAAUAGUUUUAGGCUACAUUUGCAAUGAGAAAAGAAGAUUUUAUGUCUUUGUUAGCAACAGAGUUCAGCGAAUAAGAAGAUCCUCUCUCCCUGAACAAUGGCACUAUGUGUCAACAGAGAGCAAUCCAGCUAAUCUGGCCACAAGAUCUGUAUCAGCAGCACACCUGAAAGAUACUAUGUGGUUCACAGGUCCACCCUUCUUGAGUCAUUCUCACCACUUGAAACUAGAGACUGAAACCUUUACAUUAGUGGAUCCGGCUCAAGAUACAGAGAUUCGUCCACAAGUUACAACCUUGAGUACAACAUCCAAAGAUAAAGAACUCGGGUCUGAACGUUUUUGCAGGUUCUCUAGCUGGAAUACUUUGACUAGAGCAUUAGCACGCCUCAUUCAUGUAGCUCAUCUGUUCAAACAAAAAGGAGACAGCCAACUUGAUCAUUGUAAGGGCUGGCACCUUUGCAGAGAACUAAACUUGGUGCAUGACUUUAAGAAAGCUAGAUCAGAAUGUUCAAAAAGAGACUUUUGCAAAAGAAAUACAGAGCAUUGUAGAAAAGGAAGGCAUGCCAAAUGAUAGUCCUCUCAGAGCAUUGGACCCUUUCAUAGAUGAAAAUAGACUACUGAGAGUAGGUGGUCGUUUGAGAAAUGCAGACCUAGGACCAGAGGAGAGAAAUCCAAUUAUUGUGCCUGGUCAUCACUACAUAGCUACCCUCAUUGCUCAUCACUAUCACAUCCAGUCAACAAACCAAGAGGAAUGAAUGGCCUAUGGGUUGUGUAACAAAGACUUUCCCUGAUAAAGAUGGCAAAGUUCGCAAAGUGGAAAUAAAGAUUGCCAGAGAUGGGAGUUCUACAUUAUUCUUCAGACCAGUGACAGAGCUCAUCCUUCUUCUUCAGUCUGAAGACCCUGCUCCCUGAUUGGACUAGAAUGAUUGUGGUGAUCUUACAGACACCAGGCGGGGAGUGUGCUGUCAGGACAGAUAUAUGUCUUUUCAUUUGAUUAUAGGUAUGAGCAGUCCUCCAGCUCCAUCUACUGGACACCUGUAGAUAUUUCCUGGUGUUAGUUAUUUGUUUAAUAAAGUUAGCUAUUGACCCCUGAUGUCAUAACUCCAGGUCACAGGAAGUAGGUGUUUUUCAGCCUGUGCAGUUUAUCUCAUGUGCUUUCAGCUUUCUCCAUGCUAAACAGGCCCUAUGCAGCAUUGUUGUUUUACCCUUUCAUCUUCAAAUACUCAUUAAACAAGUUAACAACUUACACAGUGUGGUGUUUUGAAGAAGGGUUAUCUGCCUGUCAAUCUUACUUCAGACAGUGAGCAGGACAGAACAGUAGACAACACCACGCAUAGCUGAUGCAAUACAGCACAAGAAUGCUAUUAAGUAAUCUUGUUUGAAACUCCUCAAUUGAGAAAAACGCUGCAUGUUCCUAACGGGGCACCAGAGGGCGCUGUUGGACAAA